rnacentral:rRNA from 1 species
CGGGAGGGAAGAACGUUCACGGGGUGAACAAUCCCGGGGACUGACGGUACCUCCAAAGGAAGCGCCGGCUAACUCCGUGCCUGCAGCCGCGGUAAUACGGAGGGCGCAAGCGUUGUUCGGAAUCAUUGGGCGUAAAGCGCGUGUAGGCGGCUUGGCAAGUCGAGUGUGAAAGCCCGGGGCUCAACCCCGGAAGGUCGCUCGAAACUGCCUCGCUCGAGUCCCGGAGAGGAAGGCGGAAUUCCCGGUGUAGAGGUGAAAUUCGUAGAUAUCGGGAGGAACACCAGCGGCGAAGGCGGCCUUCUGGACGGUGACUGACGCUGAGACGCGAAAGCGUGGGGAGCAAACAGGAUUAGAUACCCUGGUAGUCCACGCCGUAAACUUUGGGUGCUAGGUGUCGCGGGUAUUGACCCCUGCGGUGCCGCCGCUAACGCAUUAAGCACCCCGCCUGGGGAGUACGGUCGCAAGGCUA